GACCAGUAACCACCACGCAAAGUGAAAUCAGUAUCUGCCACGUUUUAUCGAGGAAGCAAAACGACAUGUCGUUUGCACAAAGAAUCGCAUUUCUAACAGUAGUAGAUAUUAUAUCGAAAGAUAGGAUAUUUCCAUCAACCUCUUCGAGGCCCAAAAAGCGCCUAAUAAAAGGUCCAACAAAUACAGUCCAAAUAUAAGGCUUAAAGCACAAACAAAA
rnacentral:misc_RNA from 1 species